GACGAACGCUGGCGGCGUGCUUAACACAUGCAAGUCGAACGGAAAGGCCCUGCUUGCAGGGUACUCGAGUGGCGAACGGGUGAGUAACACGUGGGUGAUCUGCCCUGCACUUCGGGAUAAGCCUGGGAAACUGGGUCUAAUACCGGAUAGGAGCCAUUUUUAGUGUGAUGGUUGGAAAGUUUUUUCGGUGUAGGAUGAGCUCGCGGCCUAUCAGCUUGUUGGUGGGGUAAUGGCCUACCAAGGCGGCGACGGGUAGCCGGCCUGAGAGGGUGGACGGCCACAUUGGGACUGAGAUACGGCCCAGACUCCUACGGGAGGCAGCAGUGGGGAAUAUUGCACAAUGGGCGCAAGCCUGAUGCAGCGACGCCGCGUGGGGGAUGACGGUCUUCGGGUUGUAAACUCCCUUCGCUAGGGACGAAGCUUUUUGUGACGGUACCUAGAGAAGAAGCACCGGCUAACUACGUG
rnacentral:rRNA from 1 species